UUUAUUGGAGAGUUUGAUCCUGGCUCAGGAUGAACGCUGGCGGCGUGCCUAAUACAUGCAAGUCGAGCGAAUGGAUUGAGAGCUUGCUCUCAAGAAGUUAGCGGCGGACGGGUGAGUAACACGUGGGUAACCUGCCCAUAAGACUGGGAUAACUCCGGGAAACCGGGGCUAAUACCGGAUAACAUUUUGAACUGCAUGGUUCGAAAUUGAAAGGCGGCUUCGGCUGUCACUUAUGGAUGGACCCGCGUC
rnacentral:rRNA from 1 species